rnacentral:rRNA from 1 species
CCGCACAAGCAGCGGAGCGUGUGGUUUAAUUCGUUGCUACACGAAGAACCUUACCUGGGUUUGACAUAUAGGUUGUAGGGAACUGAAAAGGGACCGACCCUUCGGGGAGCCUAUACAGGUGUUGCAUGGCUGUCGUCAGCUCGUGUCGUGAGAUGUUCGGUUAAGUCCGCUAACGAGCGCAACCCUCGCCGUAUGUUAUAUGUGUCAUACGGGACUGCCGGUAAAAAGCCGGAGGAAGGUGGGGAUGAUGUCAAGUCAGCAUGACCUUUAUAUCCAGGGCUACACACACGCUACAAUGGUCUGUACAAUGGGUAGCCAAGCCGCGAGGCGGAGCCAAUCCUGAAAGCAGGCCUCAGUUCAGAUUGCAGUCUGCAACCCGACUGCAUGAAGCCGGAGUUGCUAGUAACCGCAGGUCAGCAAUACUGCGGUGAAUACGUUCCCGGGUCUUGCACACACCGCCCGU